rnacentral:snoRNA from 13 species
CCCCAGUGAUGAGUUGCCAUGCUAAUACUGAGCCACCAGGUAGGGCAGUGUUGCCCUGGCUUGGGUGCCAGUGAGUUAAACAAAACUUCUCACAUGAAAACCUGAGGGGC